AGGGUUCGAUUCUGGCUCAGGAUGAACGCUGGCGGCGUGCUUAACACAUGCGAGUCUAACGGGAUCCAUCAAGCUUGCUUGGUGGUGAGAGUGGCGAACGGGUGAGUAAUGCGUGACCGACCUGCCCCAUACACCGGAAUAGCUCCUGGAAACGGGUGGUAAUGCCGGAUGCUCCAGUUGAUCGCAUGGUCUUCUGGGAAAGCUUUCGCGGUAUGGGAUGGGGUCGCGUCCUAUCAGCUUGACGGCGGGGUAACGGCCCACCGUGGCUUCGACGGGUAGCCGGCCUGAGAGGGCGACCGGCCACAUUGGGACUGAGAUACGGCCCAGACUCCUACGGGAGGCAGCAGUGGGGAAUAUUGCACAAUGGGCGCAAGCCUGAUGCAGCGACGCCGCGUGAGGGAUGGAGGCCUUCGGGUUGUAAACCUCUUUUAUCGGGGAGCAAGCGAGAGUGAGUUUACCCGUUGAAUAAGCACCGGCUAACUACGUGCCAGCAGCCGCGGUAAUACGUAGGGUGCAAGCGUUAUCCGGAAUUAUUGGGCGUAAAGGGCUCGUACGCGGUUCGUCGCGUCCGGUGUGAAAGUCCAUCGCUUAACGGUGGAUCCGCGCCGGGUACGGGCGGGCUUGAGUGCGGUAAGGGAGACUGGAAUUCCCGGUGUUACGGUGGACUGUGUUGAUUUCGGGGAGAACCCCCAUGGCGAAAGCCGGUCUCUGGGCCGUUUCUGACGCUUAAGAGCGAAAGCGUGGGGAGCGAACGCGAUUGAUUCCCUGGUUGUCCACGCCGUUACCGUGGAUCUGGUUUUG
rnacentral:rRNA from 1 species